UACAGAGGUCCCAAGCGUUGUUCGGAUUCAUUGGGCGUAAAGGGUGCGUAGGUGGCGUCGUAAGUCGGGUGUGAAAUCUCGGGGCUUAACUCCGAAACUGCAUUCGAUACUGCGUGGCUAGAGUGCUGGAGAGGAGACUGGAAUUUACGGUGUAGCAGUGAAAUGCGUAGAUAUCGUAAGGAAGACCAGUGGCGAAGGCGAGUCUCUGGACAGCAACUGACGCUGAGGCACGAAGGCCAGGGGAGCAAACGGG
rnacentral:rRNA from 1 species